AAAAAAUCUUGGACUGAAAGAACUGCAACCCAGGAAUCAUUCUCCUCCUUUACUAUUUGUAUUGCACUAGUACUCGAAGAUUUUGUUGUUGUAUGUGAGAUACAAACAUAGUGAUACAAAUGGGCCCUUCUCAAAGUGCUUUUAAUAAAAGAAUUAAAAAAAAAAGAAAAAAAGAAGUGGCAAGGCUAACAAAAAAAAAAAAAAAAGGACUUUUUAUGAAAGGACAAUAGCUUGCAGAGUUUCUGAGAAGGCUGUUCUUCACCCUUGGCUCUGACUUUCUGACUUCAUAUUUUAAAGGAUCUCUCUGGCAGAUGGAAAAGUCUUCAGCAUCCUAAGCAAGGGUGAUUGGUCCUGGUGUUUUCAGAACUGUCUACUGCAUCCUGAACAUUUUCCAUGCAUCACUGACUGGGAACAUUUUAAGUUGGCGUCAAAGAUAGAGUCUGUGGGGAAGUCUGCACACAAAUAAUACUUCUUCAUUGUUCUUGCUCAGAAGUGUUCAUGCUUUUUGCAAGCUGUUUCACCCACUGUGGCAGAAGAGUAAACUAUAAAUAAUCAAUCAGUUUUUUUCCUUAGCAAGACAUAUUCUCAUUUUCAGAGCCAAUGUACCACUGGAUGACAGAAAGAGAAAGUGCUCAACUCCAUUAGCAUCAGCCAUCCAGUGGGGCCUGACUUGGCAGGCAUGUGAUAACAGCCAUGUAAGGAAGCACAGGAGAGGCCACACAGGAAGAUUAUAUAAAUGAGAACCACAGUUGUAGACAGAUAAUGAAAUACAAUGAGAUGGGCUGGAGUACACUGGGUGUCCUUUGGCAUAAGGAAACAAUCUAUUUUUUAUAAGCUUUUAUUCAAGAAAAAUGUCUUACAUUCACAUAUAUAGACCACAAUUUCCGAGAGUGGCAUAAAACAUAACUCCAAAUCUUGAAGUAGUCACCUAAGCAGAGAUACUUAUGAAGCAAGAGUUACCUCUGAAAGUGCAGUGACAGUUCCCUGGAAUCAAGCCUUUGGCACCCUAUUUUAUUGUAUUUAGCUCUGACGUUGGAGGGGAAGGUGAACAAUAGGGUAGUGAACACAGUGUUUGAGCUUGCAGAUUUGGUCAGGGUCAAUAAAAUUGUGUAGAGUGCCCUCACAGGCCAGAAGACAAAAAAAAAAAAAAAAAAAAAAAAAGUGUGAUGUGUCACUGAACAGCUUCUGGAAGCUGCACUAGCAAGGACAUUGUGAGAUCCCUAGACCUAUUUCCACCCUAUCAAACUGGAUCUGGAGAUAUCACAACUAUUGUGGGAACUAUCCUGACUAUUCACGCAUGGUCUGCUAUAAGGUAUUUGCCAGCAGCUCUGGGCAUGGCCCGAGGCUACAAGAAACAAGAUGAGAAGCAAAAUGGUAAUUUCUGUCAAUUAAUUUCUCCUUCUGCUUUUGGUCUAGAUAAGAAAUGGUGGGAAAAGAAAGGGUAAAGUAAGGUAACAGGGAAAGAUAGAGUAUUUGAGUAGAGGGAUUCUUGACCUUUCCUAUACAGAAACCAAAAGGAAGCCAAUCAUCUAGAACUAGUUCAUAAGAGCAAAUUUGCUGCUGAAGAAAAGAUAAGGAAAGAGACUAAGAGCCCAGAUGGAACAGGAUGUUUUAAUGAAAAACUCUCUAAGAAGUUGUUCUGUUGGGAAAACUUGAUUGCCAUGUUCUGGAGGCUUUAUCUCUCACUUGGUGCUCUCAAAGGUGUUACCUCUUGGGAAAUUUUACCUAUUAGUCAUGUAGGAACUCUGAGGUGUCCAAAAAAAGAUAUUCACACAGCUAACUGGUUUUGCAGAGGAAAAUAAUUUAGGUUCCCCCAAAAAGCUCAUUGUGGAUGUUUUAACGGAGAAGGAAAAUCUACCUGAAACUUUCAGGCGUUCAAGAAAAAGCCAGGGAUUUUCAGCAGUUUUACACCUGGAUCCUGGAGGAGCACCUACAGCUGGAUCAUGGAGAGACAUCUAAGAUGAAGCCAAUAGAAGUGGAAAAAAUUCUCCCUAUUCCAGUAAAUAGGCAUACAAUUCUAAGUUAGGCUUCAUAUGUUUUGAAAACAGCUCCUCCAUGGAUGAAAAGGAGUUUCUAUAUUGAGUGUCCUGUAAGUCCUCUAUCCAUUUAUUUUGUGAAAUGUCUCUACCACCUGUAUUUGGACACUCCAUAAACAAGGUACUUCUGCUUGUGCACACAUUUGAAUUCUGAGUUGGAAAUCCUGUUUACCAAGUUACCACUUGCCUGGGUAAAGAGUUUCUUUGCUAGCUUUUUACUCCUGGGACACAUGGAGCUUUGAGUAAAAAAAAUAAUUUGCAACACAUAAUUUAUUUGGCAAAGUUAGCCUUUUGCUCUUUUUUCCAUGAGUGUAGCAGCAGCAUGGUUUCUUGAAUGUACUCAUUAUUCAAAUAUAUUAUCUGAAUAAACAGCCAAACACUCUGUACUGUCAGAUUUUGCCAUGACAUGUUGACUGGUGAUGCAUCUCUCUUGGGCUUGGCUGAUCACUCUGAGGUUGAGAACAUUUAUGCAGAGAAAAUAUCCUACUGUGGUUUGUAAUUUGCCUCUGAGCCCCUCUUCCCUCAUUCUGAAAGGCAGAUCUGUGUGAUUAUAAGGGCUAAAAUUAGAUGUGCGUGAUGGGAUGGAGCAUCAAAGAAAAGCCUACUAUUCUGCAGUUCUGUAGUGUAUGAUAGGACAAGCAGUCUCAUAUUAGGGAUGUUCCUUUCUAUUUCAUUAUUCAGAAGGAAUUUCUGAAGAGAUCUGAAGCAGAGUGAGGAAAAGCAACUGAGUUUUGUCUAUUGCAGAGCCUGACUAACUUGCUGGGGCAGUCAUGUUGUCUACCUAGACAAGACUUCCUUGUCUGUCUGCAUCUUGAGUCAAGCCACUGUGGCAGCGAUCCAGGUGGGAAGAAUCAGCUGCUGAUCUCUGAGCAGUGCAAGCAGGGAUGGGAAGGCUGGGGAGCGUGGGAG
ensembl:lncRNA